AUGUAAAUCUGUACACAAAUACAGAAUUGUAAUCUAUGGAGUAGCUCUGAAGGUCAAGGCACGUCAUAAGUUCUUUGGAACAAGACACCACAGAGGGUGAAAGUCCCGUCUUUGGAUGUGCUGAGGCGAUAGGAGAUAUUUCUAAGAGUCGGGUAGUUUGGGAAUGCUGCCCUAAUUGGGAGGUAAACUUCUCCUAAGGCUAAAUAUUUAUCGGAGACCGAUAGCAUACAAGUACUGCGAAGGAAAGAUGAAAAGAACUUUGAAAAGAGGGUUAAAAGACUUGAAAUCGUUGAAAAGGAAGCGAUAGAAGAGAAAUGAAUCACUCAGGAAGUACUGGGGGCUCAUAAGUUCAGGGGUGUAGAGUACCUAACAGGGCUCUUGCCAUUGAAUGAAAGAGGUUCAAGUUUUUCUGGGUGAUAGGCAAAAUUAUAUUCAGCUGCAAGAAUAAGGUAGAAGUUUAUUCGACUACUAGAAGUUGCAGAUGAGUAUGAGGGAUUAGCUAAUGAUUUUGCCAAAAUGGCUUUUAUCGACCCGUCUCGAAACACGGACCAAGGAGUCUACCGCCUAUGCGAGUGUUAAGGUGGAAAAACCUAAACGCGAACCGAAAGGGAUUUAAGAUGUGAAGCGCAAGCCGCAACAUCAACCAAUCUUGAUUCUUUGAUGAAGGACUUGAGUAAGAGCAUAAUUGGUAGGACCCGAAAGAUGGUGAACUACGGUUGAAUAGGGCGAAGUCAGGGGAAACUCUGAUGGAGGCUCGAAGCGAUACUGACGUGCAAAUCGUUCGUCAAAUUUGACUGUAGGGGCGAAAGACUAAUCGAACCAUCUAGUAGCUGGUUCCCUCUGAAAUUUCUCUCAGGAUAGCAGGAACAGAUUAUGCAGUUUUAUCAGGUAAAGCUAAUGAUUAGAGGACUCGGGGUUCCGUGAACCUUGACCUAUUCUCAAACUUUAAAUUGGUAAGAACCGUAAGUUAUCUUAAAUGAACUGGCGGGUAGAAUGCAGUGUUCUUAGUGGACCAUUUUUGGUAAGCAGAACUGGUGAUGAGGGAUGCUCCUAACGUCAAGAUAAGGUGCCAAAAUUCACGCUCAUGAGAUACCAUAAAAGGUGUUGGUUAGUAUAAACAGCCGGACUGUGGCCAUGGAAGUCGGCACCAGCUAAGGAGUGUGUAACAACUCACCAGCCGAAUUAACCAGCCCUGAAAAUUGAUGGCGCUAAGCGUGAUACCGAUACUUGACCAUUGUAGCAAAGAAAAGCUGCAAUGAGUAAGAGGGCGUGAACACUGUAUAGAAGGCUUGGAUGUGAAUCUGGCUGGAACAGUGUUUAGUGCAGAUCUUGGUGGUAGUAGCAAAUAUUCAAAUGAGAACUUUGAAGACCGAAGUGGAGAAGGGUUCCAUGAGAACAGCAUUUGGUCAUGGGUUACUCGAUCCUAAGACAUAGGGAAAUUCCUUGUAAUACAUGUCUUCUUACGAAGGCGUUGUCAAAAGGGAAUGAGGUUGAUAUUCCUCAAGCUGGCUGUGGAGGUUAUAUGGUAACAUAAACAAGCUCGGAGACGUCGGUAUGUGCAACUGGAAGAGUUCUCUUUUCUUCUUAACAAUCUAUCUCCUUGAAUGGUUUACCCAGAGCUAAGGAUAUAUGGUUGGCAGAGCAGUUCACCAUCGAACUGUCAGUGAUGCUCAUAACGACCCUUGAAAAUCCGAGUGAGAUUAUCCUAUCACGCCAGGUCGUACCCAUAACCGC
rnacentral:rRNA from 1 species